CUACGGGGUGCUGCAGUUUCGAAUCAUUCCCCCUGGACGGAAGUCUGAUGGUGCAACGCCGCGUGGGGGAUGAAGGCCUUAGGGUUGUAAACCCCUGUCGUUAAGGAGCAAACGUUAGGUUCAUAGCCUAACUUGAGUUAACUUGGAGAGGAAGCAGUGGCUAACUCCGGGCCAGCAGCCGCGGUAAUACGGAGACUGCGAGCGUUACUCGGAUUUACUGGGCGUAAAGGGUGCGUAGGCGGCAAUGUGUGUCAGGUGUGAAAUCUUGGGGCUUAACCCCAAAAUUGCGCUUGAAACUGCAUUGCUAGAGUGUCGGAGGGGCAAGCGGAAUUUCGAGUGUAGCAGUGAAAUGCGUAGAUAUUCGAAGGAACGCCAAUGGCGAAGGCAGCUUGCUGGACGAUUACUGACGCUGAGGCACGAAAGCGUGGGGAGCGAAAAGGAUUAGAUACCCGGGUAGUC
rnacentral:rRNA from 1 species